rnacentral:rRNA from 1 species
UACGUAGGGGGCGAGCGUUGUUCGGAAUUAUUGGGCGUAAAGCGCGUGUAGGCGGUUACUUAAGUCUGAUGUGAAAGCCCCGGGCUUAACUUGGGAAGUGCAUUGGAAACUGGCUGGCUUGAGUACUGGAGAGGAAGGGGGAAUUCCCGGUGUAGAGGUGAAAUUCGUAGAGAUCGGGAGGAAUACCAGUGGCGAAGGCGACUUUCUGGCCCUAUACUGACGCUGAGACGCGAGAGCGUGGGUAGCAAACAGG